GAUGUCUUGGUAUAGUUGAUUAUCACGUCAGUUUAACACGUUGAAGAUCUCCGGUUCGAGUCCGGGAGACGUCA
rnacentral:tRNA from 1 species